GAGACCCCCCCACCAACAAACACGGAAACUCAGGUUAUUUGCUACAUGACAGCUCAGAGAUCAUCUUAAAGAGCAAGCAUGCAGCCCGGAUGCUCAGAUGAAAAUACACCCCACGUCCUGAGUUGGCUGUGAGGCGACAGUGGGGAAAUGUAUCAAGAAUGCCCAAGUCAGGAGUUCCCGUCGUGGCUCAGUGGUUAACGAAUCCGACUAGGAACCAUGAGGUUGCGGGUUCGCUCCCUGGCCUUGCUCAGUGGGUUAAGGAUCCGGCAUUGCCGUGAGCUGUGGUGUAGGUCGCAGACGUGGCUCGGAUCCCACGGUGCUGUGGCUGUGGCGUAGGCCGGUGGCUACAGCUCCGAUUCAACCCCUAGCCUGGGAACCUCCAUAUACCUCAUGGGAGCGGCUUUAGAAAAGGCAAAAAAUAAAAUAAAAUAAAAAUAAAAAUAAAAAGAAUGUCCAAGUCAGCGCAGAAGGCCAGUUAUUUGAAUCUUUCCACGGACAAAACCCAUGCACAUCUUGGACAUUUUCCUCAGAGGUUAUGGAUUCAGACCUUUGCAUAGCUGUUUCCCUUCUUCCACGUGCUUGCUUUCUUUCUGGGACUAAAGAUUGAGAAAGGUCUGUCUUUGACGUUGCAUUUCCUCCCACCGAGCUCUUCGGGAACAGCGGGACUCUCCUCGGGGCAGUGAUGUGGCUCCGGCGUGGGCUGCUCGAGGUUGAGCCAAACAGUUCCAGCUACAGGAGCUAACACGUCAGGGCAAAUAAAGGGAGACAAUAAAACCGGAGCCCAUCGAUCCAUCUCCAGGCAGCACCAUUAACGCCUGUCUUAAUGCCGUCUGCUCCCUACCCUGAACAUGGCCAAAUAGCUUCCUUUAAAGGAAGUCCGGGACUAGAGCUCAGCGGACCAUGGCAGCCGGAGCGGCCCGGGAACAACAGGUUGACAAGGGGCUGGAGCCCACAUGUGAAUCAAGGCGGGCGGAGACGAGCCGGCUGACAGGUGGACCCAGAACGGCAGAGGCACGGUAGGGAGAGGACACGUCGUCCUCAUUGUGUGCACACGGCGACUUCACUACUCGCGCAGCCAGGAGAGCUGGGUGGUACCCUCUGACCCAGCAAGCGCUGUGCUCCAGGAGGGCUGUGGGGAGCUUGGCUUUCUGGCUUGUGUGUUCGUCGUGACCGAUUUGCACAGGGAGAGGUGAACCGUUGGCCUGAGACUCGGGCUGAGUGAUGGGAUGUGGCUUAAAAACUUUCCGUGUGUUAGAUUCCAGAUAGAUGCGAUGUCAUAUGGUGUUUGUCUUUCUCUU
rnacentral:lncRNA from 1 species